GUUUCUCUUGUAGGAAACACUUCGUCCUCAGUUUGAAGCCAAGUAUUACAAGAUGGAAGUAAUAAAUCCCAUCACAGGAAAACCUGAGCCACAUCAGCCUUCAUCAGACAAAAUCACUCGUCUUCUCGUGUCUGUCUCAGGGAUAUUCUUCAUGGUAGAGUACAACCAUCGCUAUCAGAAUGUUGUGGGAUUCCGGGUUUUAAAAUACGUAAUGUAACCCCAACUCAUUUUAUGACCCUGAGAGUACAAAAGAAACCUUGUCCUUUUCAGUAUUAGGUAAUUCUUUCAAUUAAAAUAGAAAUCACAGCUGGUAAUGGCAUUUUAUAAGGGAAAAUUUUGCACUUCUUUAAAUAAAACUCUCAUUGAAAGAAGCAUACAUAAGUUAAAAUAAAAUGGAAAUAUCCAAGUUGCGAUUAAUCGCAUCCUGUGUUAAAACUGAGCAUUCCAUUUGAAAGAAAAGUUGGACAGAAUCUGCCCAUUAGUAUGGUAAAUUUACACUUAGAACAGCUUAAACAUUUCUUGUGUCUUUUUAUUUUCAAUGUUUUAUUUGUUUUACCUUAUUCUAUUUUAUGUUAACUGAACCCUAGACUUUACACAUGCUAAGCAUAUACUCUACCACUGACCUACACUCCCAUUUCCUAUUUGUGUAUUUUAAAUGGCAAAUAAAAUCGUAUGUAUUUGUUGUGUACAGCUUGAUGUCCUGAAGUAUUAUGCAUUGUGAAAUGGUUGCAUUAUCUAAUUAAAAUAAGCCUUACCUCUCAGAUUUAUCAUGUUUAAGUUUAAAUCCUAUACUGUUCUGACUCUAAUGUAGUUCACUUGGUUAAGAGAGAAAAUUUAAUCCUUGUAUCCUUUCUUAGAAAGGCUAACACCUUCAACUCUAAGGGAUGGUUUUUGAUGUACGGUGUUUGCUUCUGAUUUUUAAUGAUGUGAAACAAAGGUGUCUUCUCUCAUUUCCCACAUUGCAGAUUUCUCUGGUGAUCACUGCUGUGUUUGCUGUUGUGGUGUACCGCCUGGUGGUCAUGGAACGGUUCGCAUCAUUCAAGUGGAAUUUCAUCAAACAACACUGGCAGUUUGCGACAUCUGCUGCUGCUGUCUGUAUCAAUUUCAUAAUCAUCAUGUUGCUGAAUCUUGUGAGUGUUUACAGUCAUAUUUUUCCAU
rnacentral:lncRNA from 1 species